CCCGGCGUGGACGGGUCGGUCCCCGUCGGUGCGGCCGGCGCCCGCGACUGACCGCGGGCAGGCCGCGGGGCUCCGCGGCCCCGGUCCGGGG
rnacentral:tRNA from 1 species